UACGUAGGGUGCAAGCGUUAAUCGGAAUUACUGGGCGUAAAGCGCACGUAGGUGGUUUGCUAAGUCAGCUGUGAAAUCCCCGGGCUCAACCUGGGCACUGCAGUUGAAACUGGCAAGCUAGAGUAGGGUAGAGGGGUGUGGAAUUCCAGGUGUAGCGGUGAAAUGCGUAGAUAUCUGGAGGAACAUCAGUGGCGAAGGCGGCGACCUGGUCCUUUUACGUGACGCUG
rnacentral:rRNA from 1 species